CAACCCGCAACGCUCUCGAGUUUGAGCGCUCUGAUUCAGAGAAUUUGCCUCACCUGGUAUCUAAGCAGAUUUCUUCAAUGCUGUCUGGU